AACCAAUCAACAAAAUAUCCUGUUUUAAACUUACCAUGACUGUCGCUGGUUAAGACAAGCUUUUAUUUGCUUGCGCUUUGUCUAGUUAGAACACUGUGUGAGGGAGAGAGUGACUGUUUGUUGCGCUGAAUAGGCUGUUCCAUCCAAUCAGUUCAAACACACAUACUCUUAAAGAUUCAAAGACUUUUAAACAGUUAUUCUCUCAAACACACACACUGCAGUAGAUUCUGUUUUUCUCUCUCAUUACCUCUUUGCCACACACACACACACACACACACAGAAGAGAGGGCACUGUGUUAGUGUUCUGAUUGAAUUGCUGAGUCAUGUCCAACAUUCCCACACAAUUUCUUUUCACUGUUUCAGAUACACACACACUUUCUCUCUUUUUCUCAUUCACUCUCACAUGGCCCAGAUCUUUGUAUUAGGCUUAAAGUGCUUUAUCAUUUUCAUGUCAAAUAAUACUCUACAUGUGUAUGUGUGUGUUUUAGAUGGUUCUGGAUGAUUCUGCUCAGAUGAGACGUGCUCUGCAGGGUUUCGGCAGUGUGCUGACAGAGAUGGGAAGUGUUUUUGAUGUCAGUCCAUUAGAGGAGCAGCUCUCAAAUGCUGAUCGACGUGUGGCAGACAUGCAGCACAGCCUACUGGGACCUCUCUCUCAGCUGGAGCAUGCAGCAGCAGAAGUGGAUGCGAUCGAGUCAGAGGUGAAGGUCAUGGAGAAAGAUGUGGCCAAAAUCAAAUCUACUUUGACCACCAAAGAAGACAUCAGUCGGGACUGUCUAAAGUUAACAGAAGACAGGAUUGACCUGAUGAAAAGGACAGUUGCUGAGAUUCAGAACUGUAAGGAUGGUCUGUGUCUACCUGACAAAGCUGAAAACACACUCCUAGUGUUCAAAAAAGCAGAACUACUACAGAAACAACUUCUGGAACUUGAACAGGUAGACAUAUGCAGUAUAUGCACACAAAAGUAUACAAACACAGUUUACACAAUGCUCAGUAUUAU
rnacentral:lncRNA from 1 species